rnacentral:rRNA from 3 species
AGCCUGAUGCAGCCAUGCCGCGUGUGUGAAGAAGGCCUUAGGGUUGUAAAGCACUUUCAGUCAGGAGGAAAGGUUAGUAGUUAAUACCUGCUAGCUGUGACGUUACUGACAGAAGAAGCACCGGCUAACUCCGUGCCAGCAGCCGCGGUAAUACGGAGGGUGCGAGCGUUAAUCGGAAUUACUGGGCGUAAAGCGUACGCAGGCGGUUUGUUAAGCGAGAUGUGAAAGCCCCGGGCUUAACCUGGGAACUGCAUUUCGAACUGGCAAACUAGAGUGUGAUAGAGGGUGGUAGAAUUUCAGGUGUAGCGGUGAAAUGCGUAGAGAUCUGAAGGAAUACCGAUGGCGAAGGCAGCCACCUGGGUCAACACUGACGCUCAUGUACGAAAGCGUGGGGAGCAAACAGGAUUAGAUACCCUGGUAGUCCACGCCGUAAACGAUGUCUACUAGGAGCUGGGGUCUUCGGACAACUUUUCCAAAGCUAACGCAUUAAGUAGACCGCCUGGG